rfam:Oryza rufipogon genomic scaffold, chr01
AUUAAGUGUAGUUGUGUAUUUCUAUGUCCAACGUUGACCGACCGUUUUAUUUGAAAUAUUUUUAUGAUUAGUAUUUUUAUUAUUAUGAGAUAAUAAAACAUGAAUAAUAUUUUAUGUGUGACUUAUUUUUUAUAUUAUUUUAAAUAUAACGAAAAUCAAACGUUAUACACGAAAAAUACCGUCUCUGCUUAUA